rnacentral:misc_RNA from 1 species
UUUCCGUAGGUGAACCUGCGGAAGGAUCAUUAUCGUACCAAAUGUGUCAGGCAUGCUUGGGCUGUUGCUGACUCAAAAAGUCGUGCACGCUGGAGGGUGUCCUCUCACAUAAUAAUCCAUCUCACCCUUUGUGCAUCACCGCGUGGGCACCCUUUGGGAUCGGACCGAUCUCGGAAGGGGGCCCGCGUUUUCACACAAACCCCCCCAUCUAAAAGUGUAGAAUGUCCUCAUCUAUGCAAUAAAUACAACUUUCAACAACGGAUCUCUUGGCUCUC